rnacentral:lncRNA from 1 species
GCCUCACAUGUGCUAGGCAAGCACUCUUCCACUGAGCUACAUACAGCUCCAGCCCCUUUAAUGAUAUAUUAUUGAGUGGAUAAAAAAGUAGUGGAUUAUUAUCACAGUUUUUACUUUUAAAAAGGUAUGUGUGACUAGGCAUGGUGGUGCAUGCCUGUAAUCCCAGUGGCUCUGGAGGCUGAGGCAGGAGGAUUUUUAUUUCAAAGUCAGCCUCAGCAAUUUAACAAGGCCCUAAGCAACUCAGUGAGAGCCUGUCUCUAAAUAAAGUACCAAAAAGGACUGGGGAUGUGGCUCAAUGGUUAAGUGCGCCUGGGUUCAACCCCCAUACCAAAAAAAAGGAAAAAGGUAUGUGUGUACAUCUGUUGUAUAUAGAUUUAUAUCUACAUGGAAAAGGAAAUGGACAAAUACAAUCCAAAUUGCCAGAUAUGAUGAGUGGGAAUGGGAAAUGAGGUAGCAUGCUUUUCUAUUUUAUAUGAUUUUCUGUCUUUGAAACUAACAACUAAGGAAAAUAUUAAAACUGUGUUUUCAAAUCCAUUUUUCCCAAAAUUACUGAUUUCUGUUUAUUUUGAGAAAUAUAUUUACAGAAGACUCCAAGAAAUGUGAACCUAAUUUUUUUAUUUUUAUUUAUUUAUUUAUUUAUUGUAGUUGUUGAUAGACCUUUAUUUUAUUUAUUCAUAUGUGGUGCUGGGAAUCGAACCCAGUGCCUCACACAUGCCAGGCAAGUACACUACUGCUGAGCCACAGCCCCCUAAGUUUUUUAUUUGUUAUUUAUUUAUUUUUAGUUGUAGAUGGACACAAUAACUUUAUUUAUUUAUAUUUUUAUGUGGUGCUGAGGAUUGAACCUAGUGCCUCACACGUGCUAGGCAGGUGCUCCUCCAAUGAGCCACAACCCCAGCCCUGACCCUAAGUUUUAUUAUUAAAAAGGUGGUAGAAUAGAAAGCUGCUGGGCUGGGAUUGUGGCUCAGUGGUAGAGCGCCCGCCUAGCAUGGGUGGGACCCAGGUUCGAUCCUCAGCACCACAUAAAAAUAAAGGCAUUGUGUUGUGUCCAUCUAUACCUAAAAAAUAAAUAAAUAAAAUGUUUAAAAAAAAUAAUAAAGGCAUUCCAUCUACACCUAAAAAUAAAUAUUAUAUUAUAAAAAAAAAAAGAAAGAAAGAAACAUGCUGGCAUUUUUGUGUGAGGUGGCUCAGUGUUAGAACCAGGCCUAUUGCACUGCAGAUGUACUUACAAAGUUCAACUUAACAGCUGGUUUCCUACUUGGAAAAAUAGAGUUGUUCUUGUGACACUUGAAUAAUGUAUGUGUGAUCACUUUGAAAAUGCUAAUGUGACAUUGAAACCAUAAUAUAUCCUAAUGUUGCUUUCUUAUGGUAAUAUUCGUUAAAGCAGCCAAAUAUUAAUGUUUUUGAAAACUCCUAAUUUCGAAUGCUAAAGUUUCUGUUUCUUUUAAAUUGGUUCGUUCAUCACAAACUUUUUAAUUUUGUUUUUCUUUUUUUUUAAAUUUUUUUUUGUAGUUGUAGAUGGACACAAUCAAUGCUUUUAUUUAAUUUGUUUAUUUUUAUGUGGUGCUGAGGAUUGAACCCAUACCCUCAUGCCCCAGGCAAGUGCUCUGCCACUGAGCUAUAGCCCCAGCCCUUUAAUUUUGUUUUUCAACCCAGGAUUGGACCACUGAAUUUAGCUUCUAGGAAAUUCCCUAAUUACAGAAUUUUCUUUCAUUAUAUCGAAUUACUCCCGAUUUCAUCAUGAAAAUCUGGUUUGAAACUCAACUUACAAAAAUACUGAAAAUGAAUUUCAAAUUAAAUGGGAAUAUUUGUAUACUAAUGUGAUACAAUAGUGUUGUUUCACAUUUUUCCAUGUUAAAGACUAUUC